ACUCCUACGGGAGGCAGCAGUGGGGAAUAUUGCACAAUGGGCGCAAGCCUGAUGCAGCCAUGCCGCGUGUAUGAAGAAGGCCUUCGGGUUGUAAAGUACUUUCAGCAGUGAGGAAGGCAGGUACGUUAAUAGCGUGCUUGUUUGUACGUUAGCUGCAGAAGAAGCACCGGCUAACUCCGUGCCAGCAGCCGCGGUAAUACGGAGGGUGCGAGCGUUAAUCGGAAUUACUGGGCGUAAAGCGCAUGCAGGUGGUUUGUUAAGUCAGAUGUGAAAGCCCGGGGCUCAACCUCGGAAUUGCAUUUGAAACUGGCAGACUAGAGUACUGUAGAGGGGUAGGU
rnacentral:rRNA from 1 species